rnacentral:rRNA from 1 species
UACGUAGGGGGCAAGCGUUAUCCGGAAUUAUUGGGCGUAAAGAGUGCGUAGGUGGUUACCUAAGCGCAAGGUUUAAUCUUGAGGCUCAACCUCAUUCUGCCUUGCGAACUGGGCUACUUGAGUGCUGGAGGGGAAAGCGGAAUUCCCAGUGUAGCGGUGAAAUGCGUAGAUAUUGGGAAGAACACCGGUGGCGAAGGCGGCUUUCUGGACAGUAACUGACGCUGAGGAGCGAAAGCAUGGGUAGCGAACAGGAUUAGAUACCCCCGUAGUCCCUGA